GAUGAACGCUGGCGGCGUGCCUAAUACAUGCAAGUCGAGCGAACGGACGAGAAGCUUGCUUCUCUGAUGUUAGCGGCGGACGGGUGAGUAACACGUGGGUAACCUACCUAUAAGACUGGGAUAACUUCGGGAAACCGGAGCUAAUACCGGAUAAUAUUUUGAACCGCAUGGUUCAACAGUGAAAGACGGUCUUGCUGUCACUUAUAGAUGGAUCCGCGCUGCAUUAGCUAGUUGGUAAGGUAACGGCUUACCAAGGCAACGAUGCAUAGCCGACCUGAGAGGGUGAUCGGCCACACUGGAACUGAGACACGGUCCAGACUCCUACGGGAGGCAGCAGUAGGGAAUCUUCCGCAAUGGGCGAAAGCCUGACGGAGCAACGCCGCGUGAGUGAUGAAGGUCUUCGGAUCGUAAAACUCUGUUAUUAGGGAAGAACAUAUGUGUAAGUAACUGUGCACAUCUUGACGGUACCUAAUCAGAAAGCCACGGCUAACUACGUG
rnacentral:rRNA from 1 species